rnacentral:lncRNA from 1 species
UUGAGUUGAAGAAAUGGAAAGUAAGAGAACUGAAGGGUCUUAUGCCCACAAACAAACACUACUGAUAUGUCCUUUUCACAAAUGAGGAAAUAGGAAUAGAGAAGAUAUUAAACUGUGACACACCAUUCAUGCUCUCCGAUGGAACUGCAGAAGUCCUAGCUUUGGAGAUUAGAAUCAUACCUUUAGAUUCAAUGGAGUCAGAGGCUACAGUGGGAAGAAUGUUGGAUUUGGAGUUAGACCAAUCUGGCUUCUAAUGUCUGAGCCACCAAUGACUGACUAGCUUGUGAACCUGGAAAAGUUACUUAGGCUCUGGUUUCCUUAUCUGGGAACUGGAAAUGAUGUUGAUACCCACUCUGUAGGAUACUUGUAAGAAGAGAAAGAAAUAAUGUAUGUGGUUUCUUAGAUAGUGUAGACUCUACCUAAGUUAGACUCAAACUUCAUAAGAACUUCUGCAAACAUGACUGUAUGGGAUUUGUUCAGAGGCCCCACAAAGGACGCAGGGGACAGAUACUCAUUUCCAUCUUAUAGAUGAGGAAAGGGGGGCGGAGAGAAGAGAAGAAUGAAGGGAACUCUUCUGAAUUAUUCCAUUUAUGCAAUAGAUAUUAUCCCAUUCGGUCAAUGCAUGUCAGUUAGGCAGCUGUUAUAUUUGUCUAACUGAUAGUAUUUAUUCAAUGAGUACCAGGGAAGCAGCAUCCCAUUAGCAU